rnacentral:rRNA from 1 species
UACGAAGGGUGCUAGCGUUGUUCGGAAUCACUGGGCGUAAAGCGUGCGUAGGCGGCUAUCCAAGUCAGAGGUGAAAUCCCAGGGCUUAACCCUGGAACUGCCUUUGAAACUGGAUGGCUGGAGUGUUGGAGGGGAUAGCGGAAUUUCUAAUGUAGCGGUGAAAUGCGUAGAUAUUAGAAGGAACACCGGCGGCGAAGGCGGCUAUCUGGACAACAACUGACGCUGAGGCACGAAAGCGUGGGGAUCAAACAGG